rnacentral:rRNA from 1 species
UUCCGUAGGGGUGAACCUGCGGAGGGAUCAUUACACAAAUAUGAAGGCGGGCUGGAACCUCUCGGGGUUACAGCCUUGCUGAAUUAUUCACCCUUGUCUUUUGCGUACUUCUUGUUUCCUUGGUGGGUUCGCCCACCACUAGGACAAACAUAAACCUUUUGUAAUUGCAAUCAGCGUCAGUAACAAAUUAAUAAUUACAACUUUCAACAACGGAUCUCUUGGUUCUGGCAUCGAUGAAGAACGCAGCGAAAUGCGAUAAGUAGUGUGAAUUGCAGAAUUCAGUGAAUCAUCGAAUCUUUGAACGCACAUUGCGCCCUUUGGUAUUCCAAAGGGCAUGCCUGUUCGAGCGUCAUUUGUACCCUCAAGCUUUGCUUGGUGUUGGGCGUCUUGUCUCUAGCUUUGCUGGAGACUCGCCUUAAAGUAAUUGGCAGCCGGCCUACUGGUUUCGGAGCGCAGCACAAGUCGCACUCUCUAUCAGCAAAGGUCUAGCAUCCAUUAAGCCUUUUUUUCAACUUUUGACCUCGGAUCAGGUA